UCGCCGACGCCCGCUACAAGAACUUAAAGGAAUUGACGGGGGCCCGCACAAGCGGUGGAGUAUGUGGUUUAAUUCGAUGCAACGCGAAGAACCUUACCUAGGUUUGACAUCCGGAAAACCUUCCCGAAAAGGAAGGGUGCCCUUCGGGGAAUUCCGAGACAGGUGCUGCAUGGCUGUCGUCAGCUCGUGCCGUGAGGUGUUGGGUUAAGUCCCGCAACGAGCGCAACCCUAUUGCCAGUUGCUACCAGGUAAUGCUGGGCACUCUGGUGAGACUGCCCCGGUUAACGGGGAGGAAGGUGGGGACGACGUCAAGUCAUCAUGGCCCUUACGCCUAGGGCUACACACGUACUACAAUGGCGCAUACAAAGGGCAGCGAUACCGCGAGGUGGAGCCAAUCCCAAAAAGUGCGUCCCAGUCCGGAUUGCAGUCUGCAACUCGACUGCAUGAAGUUGGAAUCGCUAGUAAUUCGAGAUCAGCAUGCUCGGGUGAAUGCGUUCCCGGGCCUU
rnacentral:rRNA from 1 species